GUAUUUUAAUUAUAUAUACUAGUAUAGUAAUAUAUAUUGCAGAUCAUUUCUAUAGCUGAUGAUGGUGAUAUCAAUCUCAAAAUACUGAUAUAUCACAUCGUCUGCUUCGUUCUCCAUUUCCAAACACUUCUCUCUCUGUGUGUCGAGGUUUCUGCAAUGGAAAGUAUGGCACAAGGACGAUUUGAAGGGUGGGAGAUUCAUGGUUUCCGUACAAUGGAAGAUUUGGAUAUUGGCAACAUAAUGGAGGAAGCUAAAGCAAGAUGGCUCCGGCCAAAUGAGAUUUAUGCAAUUCUCUGUAACUAUAGAUAUUUCAGCAUCAAUGUCAAGCCAGUGAACUUGCCAAAAAGUGGCAGAAUUGUUUUGUUUGACCGUAAGAUGCUCAGGAACUUUAGAAAAGACGGACAUAACUGGAAGAAGAAAAAGGAUGGUAAAACCGUUAAAGAAGCUCAUGAACACUUAAAAGUUGGUAAUGAAGAAAGGAUCCAUGUAUAUUAUGCUCAUGGCCAAGAUGAACCGACCUUCGUUCGCAGAUGUUAUUGGCUUCUUGAUAAGACUCUGGAACACAUAGUCCUCGUCCAUUAUCGUGAAACCCAAGAGAUGCAGGGUUCUCCAGCCACACCUGUGAAUUCAAAUUCUAGUUCAGCCCUCUCUGACCCAUCCGCAUCUUGGCUUUUAUCAGAAGAAACUAAUUCUGGGGCUGAUCAGGUGUCUUAUACUAGCGAGAAAGCAGAGUUAGAGCCUGGGGACAGUAUGACCAUCAAAAAUCAUGAAACGAGACUUCAAGAGAUAAAUACAUUGGAAUGGGAAGAGCUUUUGGGGCCAGAUGAUCCCAACAAAUCUAAUACACCCGGAGGAGGUGGAAGAACUGCAUGCUUUGGGCAACAGAAUCAAUAUCAUAUAAAUGGAUGCAAAACUAAUGGAAACUUCCCGUCAACUUACCAGUUACCUAUUGAAAAUUCUUCUUUGGAGUAUCUCAUUGACCCAGUUCCCAGAAGUAAUGGUGUAAAUUUCAAUAUAUCGGACAGUGAUUGCUUUCAAAGGAUGGCAGGUCAGAUGAAUUCAAAUCUGCAGAGAAAGGAUUCUGCACCUGUGACAGUAGGCCAGUGUGAUUCCUUAGACAUGCUGAUCAAGGAUGGUUUGCAAACUCAAGACAGUUUUGGCAGGUGGAUGAACUACAUCAUUACUGAUUCUGGAGAAUCAGUAGACUAUCCAAUUCGAGAAUCUUCAAUUUCAACUGGUCACAAAUCAUUUACGUCUCCAAUAAUGGAUUAUCAUCAGUCAUCUGUUGAAGAGCAGAUAUUCAGUAUUACUGCUGUCUAUCCUGAAUGGGCUUUUUCAACUGAAGAAACAAAGAUUCUGGUGAUUGGAUAUUUUCGUGAAGAGCAUCCACCUCUUGUGAUGUCCAAUCUGUAUUGUGUCUGCGGAAAUGCACGUGUUCCUGCAGAAAUGGUCCAACCUGGGGUGUUCCGCUGUUUGGUUUCACCACAUGCUCCAGGAUUAGUAAAUUUUUAUUUGAGUUCUGAUGGCCAGAAACCCAUAAGCCAAGUUCUGACCUUUGAGUAUCGUGCUCCUCUAAUGCAUGACCGGAUUGUUUGUUCAGAUGAUAAGUCUAAGUGGGAAGAGUUUGAAGUUCAGAUGAGGCUUGCUCAAUUACUCUUCUCUAGAUCUAAGAGCCUUAAUAUCUUAUCUAGUGAAGUAUCACAAAAUGCCCUGAAGCAAGCCAAAAUAUUUGCCCGCAAAACCGCCCACAUUGCUGAUAGUUGGGCUGAUAUGAUAAAGUCAAUUGGAAGUACUAAAAACUCAUUUCCACAAGCAAAAGAUAGCUUGUUUGAGCUCACUCUGAAGAGCAAAUUACAGGAAUGGCUGUUGGAAAGAAUAGUUGAAGGGUCUAAAAUCUCUGACCAUGAUGAUCAAGGUCAAGGAGUAAUCCAUUUGUGUGCUAUCCUAGGAUAUACGUGGGCUGUGAAUCCAUUUCUGUUGUCAGGCUUAUCAUUGGAUUAUCGGGACAAAUUUGGAUGGACAGCUCUUCAUUGGGCUGCAUAUUAUGGAAGGGAGAAAAUGGUUGCGACUCUUCUCUCUGCAGGAGCAAAACCAAACUUGGUCACGGACCCCACUUCAGCAAACCCUGGCGGAUUCACUGCAGCUGAUGUUGCUUCUAAGAAGGGUUAUGAUGGUUUAGCAGCUUAUCUUGCAGAAAGGGGUCUAGUGGAACAUUUCAAGGAUAUGAAAAUAGCUGGAAAUGUCAGUGGCUCACUCCAAACCAGCACUACCGAUUCAGCCAACCAUAAUAACUACAGCGAAGAGGAGCUGUAUCUGAAGGAUACUCUGGCAGCUUAUCGGACUGCAGCCGAUGCAGCGGCACGUAUACAGGCUGCAUUCAGGGAGCACUCGCUUAAGCUACAGACACAGGCGGUUCAGUUAUCAAAUCCUGAGAAUGAGGCACGCAAUAUAGUUGCAGCAAUGAAAAUUCAGAAUGCCUUCCGCAACUACGAUACACGAAAAAAGAUUACAGCUGCUGCCCGAAUUCAAUAUACAUUCCGUACUUGGAAGAUCCGGAAAGAUUUUCUCAAUAUGCGUCGUCAUGCCAUCAAAAUUCAGGCUGUUUUCCGGGGCUUCCAAGUCCGGAGGCAGUAUGGGAAGAUUAUUUGGUCAGUUGGUGUGCUUGAAAAAGCAAUCUUACGCUGGCGUUUGAAGAGAAAAGGUUUCCGUGGGCUUAAUGUUUGCCCUGUUGAAGCUGUCAAAGAUCAGAAGCAAGAAAAUGAUGUGGAGGAGGACUUCUUCCGUGCCAGCAGGAAACAAGCUGAAGAGCGUGUUGAAAGGUCUGUUGUUCGGGUCCAAGCCAUGUUUCGUUCCAAGAGAGCACAACAAGACUAUCGGAGGAUGAAGUUGGCCCAUAAUCAAGCCAGGAUGGAGUAUGAAGAGCUUCCUGAUACUGACAUGGGAUAGGAGAAUACUUGAGUUUUGCCACAGCUCUGGCAGUGCGUACUUAGGAAUCUAAACAGCUACAAUGACACCAGCGAGGGAAUGUUUUUCCCAAUGACAGGAUCUUCUUUCCCCAUUGUUGUGCUUCCAUUUUAUCUUAGGAUUACUAUGUUACAGUGCAUGAGCUUGGCAUCCUCUCCAUGAUACCACCAGUUUACUGAAUUUCUCACCUUUUAAAGCAGCUGAUGAGGGACCAUUUCUUCCAACUCCCUCCUCCUCAGUGGUAAACUUACAAUAGCCUUUUACUGCUUGCCCGAGAUUUUCGUACUUUCAAUGUUUUAGGGGCUUCCAUUGAAAGAUAUCAGGCUGCAAAUAUUUCUCUAGUUGUUUUACAAUGUUAUUUCCUUUAAUUUCUCUUUCGUUUGCCAGGGAAGCUGUUCCUGGCCCCAGUGACUGGGCAUAGAUCUUUGCAAAGGAUUUUGACUGAUAACAAAAAAGACUUGGAUUUAAAAAAUGAUUCAACACCAAAAAAUUAGGCGGAGCUUCAUUGUUAGGUAGAGGUGCUGCUUUCUUUCCCUACAUGUUCUUUUAGGUACCCAACGUGAUUAUGUGACGCUCCCUGGUCUGUUGAACUCAUGAACAGUUGUACCAUAUGUAUGAGUUGUCUGAAGGUGUUUGAUGGCUAAUGUAUAUUCCUUAUACGAGUGUGACAGGGCCAACCUUUCCACCAAGGGGUUGUUUUGUUUGUCAACUUCCUUCGUGUGGGUUGAGCAUUCAGCUAAACCUGAGAUUGCUCUUCGUUUCUCUCCAUGAACAUGUUCCAAUGUCCAUAUAACACUCUCCUUCAAAAGGCAACAUGCGUGGUUUAUUUGCAACCCACCUCUUCUUCAAGAUUAGGAACCAAAAGUCCACCUAGGGAGACUUGAAUUAGUGCAUCUCCUUGGUCCAGUUACUUUUUCGACAUAUAUACGGUUUUGACAAAAUGUCAUCCUGGGGGAGGGCAUAACAUCAAUGGAAGCCUUUUCUUCUUAACUACUUGGAAUGUAACUACACGAAUCUUAUGUUUUCAUUCUGUUCAUCCGAGAGGAGCGCGUUUAACUACUUGGAAACCUCGAAUCAUUAGCAUUGACAAAGAUAAUGAAAUGUACAGCCAUCUAUUUUGAAAUCAAACUGGAUGCUUUUGUCAUGAAAAA